rnacentral:rRNA from 1 species
CAGUCGCCACGGUAAUACGGAGGGUGCAAGCGUUAAUCGGAAUUACUGGGCGUAAAGCGCACGCAGGCGGUCUGUCAAGUCAGAUGUGAAAUCCCCGGGCUUAACCUGGGAACUGCAUUUGAAACUGGCAGGCUAGAGUCUUGUAGAGGGGGGUAGAAUUCCAGGUGUAGCGGUGAAAUGCGUAGAGAUCUGGAGGAAUACCGGUGGCGAAGGCGGCCCCCUGGACAAAGACUGACGCUCAGGUGCGAAAGCGUGGGGAGCAAACAGGAUUAGAUACCCCGGUAGUCCCUGUCUCUUAUAC